AUUGAACGCUGGCGGCAGGCCUAACACAUGCGAGUCGAGCGGGGUUUUCGGACCUAGCGGCGGACGGGUGAGUAAUGCGUAGGAAGCUGCCCGAUAGAGGGGGAUACCAGUUGGAAACGACUGUUAAUACCGCAUAAUGUCUACGGACCAAAGUGUGGGACCUUCGGGCCACAUGCUAUCGGAUGCGCCUACGUGGGAUUAGCUAGUUGGUGAGGUAAUGGAUCACCAAGGCGACGAUUUCUAGCUGGUUUGAGAGGAUGAUCAGCCACACUGGAACUGAGACACGGUCCAGACUCCUACGGGAGGUAGCAGUGGGGAAUAUUGGACAAUGGGCGCAAGCCUGAUCCAGCCAUGCCGCGUGUGUGAAGAAGGCCUUCGGGUUGUAAAGCACUUUCAGCGAGGAGGAAGGGUGGUGUGUUAAUAGCACAUCAUUUUGACGUUACUCGCAGAAGAAGCACCGGCUAACUCUGUGCCAGCAGCCGCGGUAACAC
rnacentral:rRNA from 1 species